GCCGCGAGAGCUUCACUUCCUCCUUGAACGGGCUUCAGGCAGCAGCUCCGGAUUUUAGUCCAUGCAGCAGCAUUCCCAGCUAGGCAACCCUAAAGCGGAUCCAACAGGAAAUCACAAGGGGUGCCUGCCCAGCCCAGCAUAGCUGUAGCCUAGCAUGAAAAGCUGCACACACUGAAAUCCGGAGCAGUGAAUUUGGGGACACGUAGUUCCGUGAGUGACUACAACGAUCGAUCCGCUCAUGCAACGAACUACAUGUCCCAACAUGCACUGCUCUGGAUUUUGGUACCUGCUUGCACUUCAAGGUAGGCUCCACCUCUGGAGGGAGGGGGGAAUUGCACUUUCAAAACACGAGCAGCUGCAGGGAAGGAAUGCACAGUAGUUUGGGGGAAAGCAGUCCCCGUCUGGCAGCCGCAAAGGGAGGAUGCCGUCUGUUGUCUUCUGCUCCCAGAGACGGACCCAUCACUCUUCUUUCUACUACGCAUCCGUAGCCAACACAGAGGACAAUGUUGGGAUUUCAGAAGCUGUCUGGAGGAGACCAGAAGCAGACAGACAGCACCUGGGUGAGGGAAGCCUCCUCCAGAUCCCCUCCCCUCUGUGAUCUGCUCUUUCUAUUAUUCAUUUUUAUUCUCACAAUAUGUUUUUUAAAAUGUGCAACCAAAUACAAUAUUCAGUUAAGGGGGGGGCAGUUAUCAAAGAACAUUGGAGCAUGCAAAAGUUGUAUGUUGUCAGAGAGAAAGAGGGAAAAUGAGAAAGGGAGUAGUCCAGGCUCCUCUAGAACCCGCACUGUGUCUGUUUUGCCCCUCAUUGCCAAAAAUGCUCCUCGCAGUACAUGGCAGCUUCCUAUAUUCCUAGAGCCUGGACUGCAAUGUGGAGAGGAGGAAGCUCUAAACCAGCUUGUAAAAAGCUUAUCUUGUGGGUCAGUUGUCUGCAAGACCCGUGUGUUUGAAAAUUUCUCUGUAACAGCACUUUUUCCAGUCCUGCUGGGGAAGAUGCAGCUAUGGAAAGUUUCCCUUGAAUGCUUUAGUACACAAAUAGAAAAAUGGCGGGUGGGGGGAGUUGAACUACUGGUAUUGGGAGGAGAGCAAGUAUGCAAUUACUUUCCAGAUAUGAGCUACAUAUUCCAUACAGUACUUCUCUAUACUUGCUGCAUGGUAUUGAUGUGAAUUUGGUUCGUCCCUGGGUCCGCCUUUUAGUCAAUCAAACAGACGCAGUGGGAAUCAUUUAGAGGCUUUUAUUGCUACUGCAGUUUUAGCAAUAGGUAAUCAGUAGGCUCACGCUCUUAAACUGAUUACAGUUUGGUUACAGGCGCAUCUUACAUUUAUACAAACAAUCUGAAUGAUGCUGACACCCUAGACAUAGUAUACGUGCCAAUAAAAUGGUGGACUAAGUAUCUAGUACGCAUGCGAAUGAUUCAUUGUUCAUCUGGUGAUUACUCCUUAUUUGGUUAAAUCCUGUCAGCAAAGAACAGUGAGAACCUUGUGAGAACCAAGUUUCUUAGAUACAAUUUAGUGGAGAGAGAUAACGACAUUGAUCAUGAGAGGCAGUGAUGUCCCUGAGCUGGGCUGGGGUUACUUUAAGUUAGAAUGAGGUUUUCUAAGUAAAAUGGAGUUGCUUUGGUUUUCUAAACACAUCAGUGUCUGUGUGUGUAAAUCCAACUAGGACGCCUUUUCAACUCUGCUAACUGAGCAAAGAGGCACCUUUUUAUAGUGGUUGAUAUAACCCGGGACCCCAAUUCCCAUAAAACUACAUUUAACACAGAACAACACUACAUACAGGCCCAACGCCUGAACCUAAGCACAACCAUUUCGUGACCAAAUAUUAAACUCUUAAGUUACCUUUAGAAUAUAGUUGGGCCCACAGGCCCUCUCUUCCCUUCCUUUCUUCACACCAGAGCUGUCUCUGAACCUUUGGAAUGUAAAUUAGAAUUGCUAGCUUCACUCCUCCUCUGCGCACAUCCUAGCCUUGGAGAUAAGGAAGUGCUAGCCAUACAGAUGUAGGAAAACAAUUGUUACAAGAGGAAAACAAUUGUUACAAGAGCAUAGCCAAAGGCAUUAAGAGUGAAACUGUGACUAAAAGGGUUGAUCAACAUCUGAGACCACCAAAUGCCAAUUACCAUGUCAAUAGUUUGUUGUUUGAUGUCAACUGGAGAUUGAUCUACGUAUGUAAUUGCUAAAGUGUCCUCUUUCAAUGUAUUGCUAUGUCAUAGAUGGGUAGAACAAAGAACUUAGAAAUGUAUAAAUAGUUCCUUAAAGCUCUGUAUCCCUUCACAACUGAUUUGGGCGCUGCCUUGCCCCGUUGUCUUACUGAUCUGCAGAAGUAAAAACGAUCAAAACUUUUCCGCUGUGUGGAAUCAAUUAUUGGCGUCAGAUACCACCCAGACAAAGAACCGGAUUUUCAGUGUAUCAAUUUGGUGCGUUGGCCGGGAAAGUGGGGAGCGGGCAAAGCACCAGCUUCCCCAGUCUGGGAGCAGAGGGGCCGACCGAGGAAUCCACGGGACUCCGGAACCAGCGCGCACCGGUCAUCUUCACCGAGGUACGAACUCCCACUCGCUGCAAACUGGUGACGCAAGCAAAACGGAGAAGUGAGUAUAUUGGUUGAUAGAGCGACCGAAGGACCGUAGAGGGUCAAGGGAAUGGCACGAGGUAAGGCCCACAGGCUGAGGGGGGAGGGUGAUUGUGCACCCGAAAGGCGGGCAGUCCAGUAGAGUGGGCGUGCCCCUCCCGUAGAAGCCACGGGCACUGUGUCGAGCGCUCAGAGUAAGGAAAGGGAAGUAAAACGGUGUACACCAUUGCAAUAUGUCCUAGAUAAUUGGAAGCAAUUUGGCAAGGGUUCUCUAGAGAAGAAAAUUUUGGUUAAAUUAUUGUACAGAAAUUUGGCCCUUUUUACAAAUUAGAAUCUGACUUAAAAUGACCACAAGAAGGUACCAUACAUCCAGAGGUUGUUUUGAAACUGUUAAGAUUUUGUAUAAAUGCAUGUAAAGUAGAUGAUUUUAGGUAUGCUCAAUGUUUUGUUAAACUAUGUGAUGAUGAGAGUGUGAGAAAGAAAUGUGUUUUGGGAAUGAUUGUUAACUACUGUACAGACUAAGAAGGUUUCAUUUGUAUACCCUGAAUGUUGUCCACUCCCCUAUGCGCCAGCUCUACCGCUACGUGGAGCUCCCCCUCCUUUUCAUUCCUCCCCGCCAGCUUCUUCCGCACCAUCAGGGCAAGAAGGCAUCCUGCACCAUCCCAGUGUGGGAAGGCCAGGCACGAUACCCCCUUGCUCAGUGGCCACUCAAAGGGCGAGUGUAUAUAAAAUAUAUGAUCCUAAGGUUAUUGUGCUGUACAAAAGCUGUUGCUUUUUUGGAUUGUAUAGAGAUAUAGCUCUUAGAUAAAAGUAUGGUUUAGUAGCUGCAACUGAUGUGUAAACAGAAAGGACUUCUAAUGAAUACUCUGAACAUGUAUAUUUUGCCCCUCACCAACCUCAAUCUGCUCAGAGGUUGGACCCAGCCGCUCUUAAUAUUACCCAAGAGCUGCCUGACAAAGGGGUGCCAAGCAAAACCAUUUGUCAAUAACAAAGCAAGAUCAGGAAAAGGCAUGCUUAAACGCACGCGGUUCCCAACACCACCCAUUUCCCUGGCCACCCUAGUUAGAACACCAGAGCUUGGGGGUAAGGCAAAAGGUUCUGAAGAAGAAGAAGGGAAAGAAGGGGACCCCCACACUAUUUUUGGAGCAAGGCCCACGCCAGCUCAAACAAGGACCACAACCCAAGACACUCGAGAAAAGGAAGGGACAGGAGCUUCGAGAGGCUUUUACCGACUAGCCACUGAAGGUGACCUAUCCCCAAUCCCUGUUUCACUAUUAGAACCCAAGAUCAGAUCAGAAGCGCCUCCAAAUCUCAGAAACUACAAGGCUCUUAUAUUACAAGCCUUGAACCCUGCCCAGAGGAGCACCAGCCAUCAGGGAAUCCACCUACUGAAUCCCCAGCUAAGCGUUUAGAAUGCUUAACUCAUUAGAACUAAGCUGCAAAGUUUGAAGGGGGGGGCAGGGCUCUUCCCCCCUGCAUUGGCGGAAGAAAGCUGACAGAAGUGUUUAAAGGGAGAGAGUAGGAGCAGAAGGAAAAAGGAAUGUGUAAAGGAAGAAGGCGAUAAGGGUGGAGGCACAGAUCUUAGAUGGUAAAUAUGCGAAAGAACGGAAAAGUAGAGGUGUGAAGGCAUAUUGGAUGUUUAAAGAAGGUAUGAGAAGUGGAAAAAGAUACUUGGGACCUGCAAGGCAACGCCUGGGUCCAAAUAAAUGCAGGAAAACCGGUCAUUGACACCGUGAAUGUGAAUGGGUAUUACACCCAUGGGAACGGAAUGCAUUGGAACCUCGUCCAUUGAGCGAUCCGGGAACCAUGCAGGGGGAAGAGUGACCCAGCCCCCAUUAUCCCCACUCUCAGACCAUGUAAUUCAGCAAAGAGCCACCCCCUUUUCUCCAAAAUGAAAUCCAGCCUGGCUUGGGCUGAGAACAGACUUUUCACCAAGCCAUCUCACUUCAAGGGCUUUGGCAGAAUCUAACAAAGAAGAACCAAGAUUGUGAAGGGGGGUGAGUCAAAGUGAUUUUAUGUUGUAACUAACUACUGAAAUUUUCCUGAAGAAGUUCUUUGAAGAUUGCCUUGUGAAGUGAAGAAAAGAAAUAAGGAGCGGGGCAAGCCUAUGAAGAAAAGGGAACCUGUGUCAUACCCUUGCUCUCUUACCCACACGCAGCCCCCAAAGGGAAUUAGUUAGAAGCUAGCACAUUAGAGCUAGCCAGAGGAACAAGUUUUGCUUUAAAUGAACUUGCUUUGUCAGAAUGAGGCACCAGCUAUGAAAAGUGUGUUGUGUUAAAAUUAUGGUUUAAGUGUUUUUGGAACCUCAUUAUGGAUAAAGGAAUGACAUCUUGUAAGGAGAAAGUUACCAUCUAUAAUCCAUAGCUUUAAACAGAAUUUUUAUGUAUGUGUACACUUGUGUUUUAUAUGUUUGUCUUUGCCUAGGCCUCUCUUAUAACCUGUAAUACUUUCAGGUUUAUCCUUGUUAAAGAUGGAUCCAACUCCGUUUUAGGAAUCCAGAUUCUCUCUUCUUUAAUAUCUAUGGUUGAAUCUUCUUCCUGAGUAAGCUUGUCUUACGCCUAUAAAUCUUUCUGAGUCUUUCCCCUUGUUAUGGAAUCAAACCUCAGUCUUGAGAGUCUUUUUCGUGUUGUUUUGGCUUCAUUAACUAAUAGAUGUAUUAGAACUUGGUUGAAUAUGUAUACCUUAUGAAUUUUAUACUGGGACUCAAACCUUUCUCUACAAAUCGUGAAAACCAGCUAACCUACCUCUGUUAAACCAAUCUAUAUCUGUUUAAGGAUCCAGAAAUUUCUUUUUAGUGUUUGUGAUUGGAUUCUGACCCAACCCCUGACUAUGUAAUAAUGCAAUUGGGAUUCCCUCUCUUAAUGGGAGAUACAGAUACUGCCAUUUCAUUCUUCUACCGUUUUGAAAAGAUUUUUGCCAAAACCUUUUCAACCUCUGGUUUACUGCCCUUGUGGCUCCUGGAAACUAAUAUCUAUGUUCUUUUCUAUUGUUCAUUACCAGGAAAGAACUCAUUUCCCAGUACUGCCUUACGGAUACAAGCUGUGAGGUUACUUGAGUAAUGGUUAAAACCUAGAAUCUUAAAAGCUGAGCUCGUUGUUUUUAAAUGUAGUCCCUUUUUGACUAUUCUUAUGUGUUACUACUGAUCCCAUUUAUGUCUAUUAACUAUAUUUGUUCUGACCUUUGUCUUUCUGCUGACCAGCAGAUGUAAUACCAGUUGUAUGUAUGAGCCCCUGGUGGCGCAGUGGUAAAACUGCCGCCCUGUAACCAGAAGGUUACAAGUUUGAUCCUGACCAGGGGCUCAAGGUUGACUCAGCCUUCCAUCCUUCCGAGGUCGGUAAAAUGAGUACCCAGAAUGUUGGGGGCAAAAUGCUAAAUCAUUGUAAACCGCUUAGAGAGCUUCCAGCUAUAGAGCGGUAUAUAAAUGUAAGUGCUAUUGCUAUGUACCCUAUGCCUUGCAAACUUUAGAAUUUGCUGUGAGUUACUAAACCGUUAUUUACCUUUUCCAAGGUUGCAGCUGGAACCAUUCCUAGCCCUGCCUUGGAAAUAUUGCCAAGAGGAGGAGGAGCCGGAGUCCUCCCACAGGCUCCUCUCUCACAAGACUAUACAAUCUUGUCUAAAUUUCUCUCACUCUCAAAGUAAUAGGUAAUAGGUGGUUACCAGGACUUGGGUAUAAUCCGAUCAGAUUAAAGGCCCCAGAAGAGGAAGCAGAACACGGAGAAGUGGAAACAGAGGACGACCAGAACAGCCAAAAUCCUGCCACGAGGGAGGACACCCUAGAACGCUGAAGAUAAGAAACCCUGAACUAGCCAGAGACUCUAUAUCAAACGGACAAAGGGGGGCAGAUUGGGUCUUGAGUUACUGCAAUAUGCACCCCGUCAUGGGACCUUUCACUAUGUAUGCUUGUUUAAUGUAUUGUCUGAUUUACUUAACUUUUCUACCUAAUUAUGCUCAAGAAGGGUGGGAAGGCAAUAGCCUCGUUCAAAUGUACCAGUCUGCCUUAGAAACCUUUGGAAGACAUGCUGCAGACAAGUCCUGCUUGCUGCCCCUGCCUCAUCUCUUAAUAUAGAGAUGCCAGGAGCUGGGAGCUUUACACCUACAUAUGGGUUAGCAAAAACUUGUAAUGACAUCUAUGCUUUGUACCAAUUUAUUAAGAAACUGUCUAUGUCUCUGGAAUCACUUGUAAAUGGAACUGUCACACCAAGUCCAGCUGCACGAGCUAAGACCUCCUUAGUGUUCCAAAGGACCACCAUGUAAGAGACUCUGGCUCCAGAUUCCAUGCUCCUGAGCCAAGCAGGUGUUUGUAAAUUUUUGAAUCAAGCUUGCUGUAUGUACGUUGCUAAAAUAGGGCACCCUGAAACACCAUCACACAAUUUUCCGUAGUGGCACACAGAAACUUCCUCUCGCUAUAUAGAGAGUGAGGAAAUCUAUAGAAUGUAUUUACAAGUAAUUUUAUGCUUAUAUAUAAUCUGCUCAUGGCUCAUUCUGAUUAUGCUUUGCUCUCCAAAUUAGGAAUGCUUCUUCUCGUUUAGUACAUAUCACAAGCCAUAACCCACUUAUUGCCAGAUACUUCAUGAAAACAAUAGUAACAGGCUGCUAAAAACAAAGGUAAAACAACCAGAAAACAAACACAAAGAAGGAAACUACAGGUAUGAGUUUAUGUGAAUUGUGAGAGAAUCAAGAAGAUGUUGAAGCAGCGAAUUCCUGUAAGGAGGAAUUCUGGCUUCAAAGGGGGGUCUGAUAUAACCCGGGACCCCAAUUCCCAUAAAACUACAUUUAACACAGAACAACACUACAUACAGGCCCAACGCCUGAACCUAAGCACAACCAUUUCGUGACCAAAUAUUAAACUCUUAAGUUACCUUUAGAAUAUAGUUGGGCCCACAGGCCCUCUCUUCCCUUCCUUUCUUCACACCAGAGCUGUCUCUGAACCUUUGGAAUGUAAAUUAGAAUUGCUAGCUUCACUCCUCCUCUGCGCACAUCUUAGCCUUGGAGAUAAGGAAGUGCUAGCCAUACAGACUGUAGGAAAACAAUUGUUACAAGAGGAAAACAAUUGUUACAAGAGCAUAGCCAAAGCCAAUAAGAGUGAAACUGUGACUAAAAGGGUUGAUCAAUAUCUGAGACCACCAAAUGCCCAUUACCAUGUCAAUAGUUUGUUGUUUGAUGUCAACUGGAGAUUGAUCUACGUAUGUAAUUGCUAAAGUGUCCUCUUUCAAUGUAUUGCUAUGUCAUAGAUGGGUAGAACAAAGAACUUAGAAAUGUAUAAAUAGUUCCUUAAAGCUCUGUAUCCCUUCACAACUGAUUUGGGCGCUGCCUUGCCCCGUUGUCUUACUGAUCUGCAGAAGUAAAAACGAUCAAAACUUU